GUGCCAGCCGCCGCGGUAAUACCGGCAGCCCGAGUGAUGGCCGAUCUUAUUGGGCCUAAAGCGUCCGUAGCUGGCCGCGCAAGUCCAUCGGGAAAUCCACCUGCUCAACAGGUGGGCGCCCGGUGGAAACUGUGCGGCUUGGGACCGGAAGGCGCGACGGGUACGUCCGGGGUAGGAGUGAAAUCCCGUAAUCCUGGACGGACCGCCGAUGGCGAAAGCACGUCGCGAGAACGGAUCCGACAGUGAGGGACGAAAGCCAGGGUCUCGAACCGGAUUAGAAACCCCAGUAGUCC
rnacentral:rRNA from 1 species